GACGAACGCUGGCGGCGUGCUUAACACAUGCAAGUCGAGCGGAAAGGCCCUUUCGGGGGUACUCGAGCGGCGAACGGGUGAGUAACACGUGAGUAAUCUGCCUCUGGCUGUGGGAUAGCUUCGGGAAACCGAAAUUAAUACCGGAUAUGACACGGUUUCGCAUGAGAUCCGUGUGGAAAGUUUUUCGGCCAGGGAUGUGCCCGCGGCCUAUCAGCUUGUUGGUGGGGUAAUGGCCUACCAAGGCUUCGACGGGUAGCCGGCCUGAGAGGGUGACCGGCCACACUGGGACUGAGACACGGCCCAGACUCCUACGGGAGGCAGCAGUGGGGAAUAUUGGACAAUGGGCGGAAGCCUGAUCCAGCAACGCCGCGUGAGGGAUGACGGCCUUCGGGUUGUAAACCUCUUUCACCACCGACGAAGCGCAAGUGAGUGGAAAACUCAGGCCCUGACGGUAACAGAGGAGGAAGCCACGGCUAACUACGUGCCAGCCGCCGCAGUAA
rnacentral:rRNA from 1 species